CAUUAUUCUGUGUUGUUACCACGACCUGAGAUCAGCAGCUUCUUACAAGAUUGCAGGUGCAGCAUCCGUCAUAAUAUUAUGUGUAUCAAAUAUACCUAUCUAGAUACAAUAUCAGACCACUUUGCCGUCUUAUUUUAUGAUUUGUGAUUGCAAAUGGAUUUUUGUUAGGUACGUUCCGCCACACAAAAAAAAAUACAGAAGAAAAUGAAAACAAAACAAUUAGGCGAAGACUAGGUACGAAAAAUAUAAUAUUUAGUUGGACUUUUUGGUUACAGUGCGAACCACAUACGAGAAACCUUGUUUUUAAUUUCCAAUCCUUAGUUAUAAAAAUUGUAUUCAUUUUUAACGACAAAAUAAUCAGCAAAUGAUCGUGAUUUUGAAGAAUUUUAUCAACAUUUGAACUUCGUAUGCAGAAAUCUUGCCUAGUUAACAAAAAAAUAAUAAGCAGUCAAUAUAGACAGACUACAGUUAAGCCGUAUUAUAUUGUAUUAUAAUUUUCAAUUCGGAGCGAAAUGAAGAUGGAUGGAGAUAGCUGUUUCUUCAGCGACGGCGGCAGUUUAGCCAGGUUUCACUGGAAGAGUCGAUGUUUACGCGUACGUUUGUUUUCAUAUUAAAAGGAAAUCAUUAGUUUUUACGAAGUUUAAUUCUGACACCCAUACAUGGUGGUUUUACAUAACAAGUCGACGGAUGUUUUUGAUUUUAAUUGUCCGAGCGAGCGUCAACCCUUCCUCAAAAGUUGGUGACAAUGUUCUGGUGUCAACCCUGUCGGUAGAUCCAGGGCGUGGAGAUGCAGUCAACUUUCUUUCAAUAAUCGUAGAAGAAAAAAAGGAAAAUUUCGUAAUUUGGGAUUUAAGAAGAGAUUCUGAGCACAUGGCUGGAGCGGAACAGCUUGGCUGCUACAAAGUAUUGUUUACUCUGACGACGAAUGUGUAAUUCGGCGUGCCACCCAGGCCGUAGUUCCAAAAGUGCAUGAAUAUAAUAUAUUUUUUAUAAUUUUUGUAUUUUUGUUUUUUUUUUUACUGAAAAUAUAUUAUUUUUUAUACACAUAAUUAAUUAUUGAAAUUUCAUUAUAUUUCCAGUAUUCCUGUAUUUUAUGUAAGAUAAUGAAUAUUAAUUUAUAUUGAUUUAUUUUUUAUGACUUAUAACUUAUAAGAAGGCUCUUUGGUCUUUCCAAUUUACCGUAAUCGGCAGUAUUAUGUACAAUCUAUACCAGUGCCGUAGCCAGAAAAUAAUUUUGAGGGGGGCACUUAAUUUUUUUUCAUUAGCCUUUGAAAUGUUAGAAUAUCUAA
rnacentral:lncRNA from 1 species